rnacentral:tRNA from 1 species
GUUAAUGUAGCUUAAUAUAUAAAGCAAAGCACUGAAAAUGCUUAGAUGGAUAGCCAAUCCCAUAAACA